rnacentral:rRNA from 2 species
CGGGCGGGGUUGCUAUACAUGCAAGUCGUACGCACUGGCCCAACUGAUUGAUGGUGCUUGCACCUGAUUGACGAUGGAUCACCAGUGAGUGGCGGACGGGUGAGUAACACGUAGGUAACCUGCCCCGGAGCGGGGGAUAACAUUUGGAAACAGAUGCUAAUACCGCAUAACAACAAAAGCCACAUGGCUUUUGUUUGAAAGAUGGCUUUGGCUAUCACUCUGGGAUGGACCUGCGGUGCAUUAGCUAGUUGGUAAGGUAACGGCUUACCAAGGCGAUGAUGCAUAGCCGAGUUGAGAGACUGAUCGGCCACAAUGGAACUGAGACACGGUCCAUACUCCUACGGGAGGCAGCAGUAGGGAAUCUUCCACAAUGGGCGCAAGCCUGAUGGAGCAACACCGCGUGAGUGAAGAAGGGUUUCGGCUCGUAAAGCUCUGUUGUUGGAGAAGAACGUGCGUGAGAGUAACUGUUCACGCAGUGACGGUAUCCAACCAGAAAGUCACGGCUAACUACGUGCCAGCAGCCGCGGUAAUACGUAGGUGGCAAGCGUUAUCCGGAUUUAUUGGGCGUAAAGCGAGCGCAGGCGGUUGCUUAGGUCUGAUGUGAAAGCCUUCGGCUUAACCGAAGAAGUGCAUCGGAAACCGGGCGACUUGAGUGCAGAAGAGGACAGUGGAACUCCAUGUGUAGCGGUGGAAUGCGUAGAUAUAUGGAAGAACACCAGUGGCGAAGGCGGCUGUCUGGUCUGCAACUGACGCUGAGGCUCGAAAGCAUGGGUAGCGAACAGGAUUAGAUACCCUGGUAGUCCAUGCCGUAAACGAUGAGUGCUAGGUGUUGGAGGGUUUCCGCCCUUCAGUGCCCGGAGCUAACGCAUUAAGCACUCCGCCUGGGGAGUACGACCGCAAGGUUGAAACUCAAAGGAAUUGACGGGGCCCGCACAAGCGGUGGAGCAUGUGGUUUAAUUCGAAGCUACGCGAAGAACCUUACCAGGUCUUGACAUCUUGCGCUAACCUUAGAGAUAAGGCGUUCCCUUCGGGGACGCAAUGACAGGUGGUGCAUGGUCGUCGUCAGCUCGUGUCGUGAGAUGUUGGGUUAAGUCCCGCAACGAGCGCAACCCUUGUUACUAGUUGCCAGCAUUAAGUUGGGCACUCUAGUGAGACUGCCGGUGACAAACCGGAGGAAGGUGGGGACGACGUCAGAUCAUCAUGCCCCUUAUGACCUGGGCUACACACGUGCUACAAUGGACGGUACAACGAGUCGCAAGCUCGCGAGAGUAAGCUAAUCUCUUAAAGCCGUUCUCAGUUCGGACUGUAGGCUGCAACUCGCCUACACGAAGUCGGAAUCGCUAGUAAUCGCGGAUCAGCAUGCCGCGGUGAAUACGUUCCCGGGCCUUGUACACACCGCCCGUCACACCAUGGGAGUUUGUAACGCCCAAAGUCGGUGGCCUAACCUUUAUGGAGAGCCGCCUAAGUCGAUCA